rnacentral:rRNA from 1 species
GCUUGUCUCAAAGAUUAAGCCAUGCAUGUCUAAGUAUAAGCGUUUAUACAGUGAAACUGCGAAUGGCUCAUUAUAUCAGUUAUAGUUUACUUGAUAGUGCCUUACUACAUGGAUAACCGUAGUAAUUCUAGAGCUAAUACAUGCGUAAGUCCCGACCGGCAACGGAAGGGAUGUAUUUAUUAGAUAUAAGCCAACGCGGUCAGCAAUGGCCGGUUUUUGGUGAGUCAUAAUAACUUUGCGGAUCGCAGUGCGGCUUGCCGCGGCGAUGAAUCAUUCAAGUUUCUGCCCUAUCAGCUUUCGAUGGUAGGGUAUUGGCCUACCAUGGCAUUAACGGGUAACGGAGAAUUAGGGUUCGGUUCCGGAGAGGGAGCCUGAGAAAUGGCUACCACCUCCACGGAAGGCAGCAGG